CCCUUAUGUAAAAGCAACAUCUCUCCCCUAGAAGCUAGACAAUAUUUCAGGGGAAGACUGAAAGGUAUGGCAGAAGAUUUGCUGGAUCAAUAGAUCAUGCUCUUCAGUCAAUGUCUGCAGAAGCCCCUGUGGUUGUGGCAAGGCCAGGAGUUUUGCAUAAUUUGAGUUCAAGACAAAUGAAGCUCAUCCAGGGCCACACUGUGCCUAAUAGGCAAACACUGAGAAACCACAUGGGUUUUGUGACACCAUUGACACAGGAUGCCAACUUCUGCUUUGAGGUUGAAAGGAAUGUUCCCAGACUUUCAGAGAAAUGUCUUUUGAGCCAGAGGUUAUCAACAGAAAGCAACAUCCAUCUAGAUG